rnacentral:lncRNA from 1 species
ACGCUUUCUAUUUUUUUUUUAUGAUCUUUAUGUGUUUCGGUCAGCCAUAGGUGUAUGCUCUUAUUUGGACUCGCUGGCCUAGUAUUUGUUUAGCCCAAUGUUGUUCUUUGUUUAACGCAAAAGUGAAUUUGGGCGGUUGGGCCUAUACUCAUGAGUCAUGACAUAUGAACAGACGUGAAAAAAGAAGUCAGCGAGCUUCUUUGGUGAACGUGAGUAUCAAAAUAUUUAUUUGUUAUAUGAGACAAAUGCAGUUACAAAUUAUGAGUAGAAACCAAAAACUAAAGUAAACACAAUGAAAAACAAUAAACUAAAAUAUAAUACUGAAAUUGAAAUUACCAAAUACCAAAACAGAAAUUGAUAACCAGAAAAUAUAACUGAAAUCACAAAACUGAAAACUAAAGUGGACUCAAUGAAAAAUAAAGAGAAGAAACAUAAAACUGAAACUGAAGUAGACACAAUGAAAAAUAAGUAAAUGAAACAUAAAUUGACAACUAUAAAACUAAACUAAAACUGACAAAGUAUAAAAUGAAAACUAAAGAAAAAACAUUCCAAAUAAUACAUAAAUACUUAUUAUAAUACUUGGAUCAGCAAGAAAACACAAAGAAUUGUCAAUCCAGAGCCUCAACAAUACUUUUCCCCAAAUUCAUUUAAAAUUAUGUGCUUGUGUCAAGUAUAAUUUUGUGUACGCGGUAAGUUAUUUUUUUAGCAAGAGGCUACUUAUUUUGAUCACCAUAAUAUAUAAAAUACGUAAGUAGCUACUAUAUAUACAAUAUAAGUUACCACUAUAUUAAAUAUAUAUAUUAAAAUAUAGGUAUAAUGGUC